rfam:Canis lupus familiaris chromosome X, whole genome shotgun sequence.
CGGGGGAGGCCGGAUCCUGGGCUGUGUCCCGGCGUCCUGUACUCCGGAGCCUGCGCUGUUGGAUUCGCGCUCCCGGGCCGCGCAGCCCCCU